CUCUGCUGCUACAAAAAUGCCAUCCAGUUAGUCAUUGAAUACACGUCUGAUAAUCAGAUGAUUCACUCCCUCUUAUUAGUGAUAGGAAACAUCUUUAUGUGGAGGAAUUUUUUUUUUUUUUUGGAAGUUAAAGAAGUCUGAGUCCCUGUUUGCUUGAUUUCCCAGUGAACUCAGAUGUUCAUGUUCUGUACUUACGACAAAAGAGUACCUUACACUGUGCAUGGCCCCAUCAGCGCCUAUUUUUUUUUUUUUUUUUUUGAUAAACAACGCGCCACAUUUUAAUUUCUGGGACUCCGGAAGCCCCUCCUAGAGGGAGGGGGGUGGGACUAACGGAACCAAGAUCCAUCGGCCAUCGCGUUCUCUCGUGCGAGCGAGCCUCGGCCCGGCGAACCACCUUCUUUCAUCUCCUCCUCUUUUAUCUUCCAAGCCCUUGACAGCUCCACCACCUCUCGCCGGCGGCCAGCAUCUCUUCUUCUCCUCUGCCCCUUAAAAGCCUUGCAACAGGACAUUUUCAAGCUCUGAGAAGGACCGGAGGGGAAGAGGAAAAGGAGGGAUUUUUAGUUUUAUAUUUACUCUUCCUGAUGACGAGUUCGGUUCUAUCUGAAUGCUAUGGUCCAGAUCCAGGCUCCAGCCGCGCGGUUGAGCCUCCGCUGGUCCUGCCACGUGGCAAUCGCAUAUUCUUAUGGAUGACGGUGGGGACAAAGGGAGGCGUUCGCCACUUCGAAGAUAGCGGGGCUCCGUUAGCUGCUCCUUAUGGAUGCUUCGAAAUGCCCGCAUCAGCUUAUGUGACAAAAU
rnacentral:lncRNA from 1 species